GCCUUUGUAGCUCAACGGUAGAGCAACUGUUUUGUAAACAGUAGGUUGGGGGUUCAAUUCCCUCCAAAGGCU
rnacentral:tRNA from 1 species